AGAGAUCUUCUCUUCAUUCUGUACACAUAGCUUAUCCAAGGGCUGCAUCUGGUCUUCCCUUGCCAUUGGUCCUGCCCUGUUCACUCCUCUUGCCCCUGGAGAUGGACACUAG
rnacentral:lncRNA from 1 species